CCCGCACAAGCGGUGGAGCAUGUGGUUAAUUCGAAGCAACGCGAAGAACCUUACCAGGUCUUGACAUCCCGAUGCUAUUCUAGAGAUAGAAAGUUACUUCGGUACAUCGGUGACAGGUGGUGCAUGGUUGUCGUCAGCUCGUGUCGUGAGAUGUUGGGUUAAGUCCCGCAACGAGCGCAACCCCUAUUGUUAGUUGCCAUCAUUCAGUUGGGCACUCUAGCGAGACUGCCGGUAAUAAACCGGAGGAAGGUGGGGAUGACGUCAAAUCAUCAUGCCCCUUAUGACCUGGGCUACACACGUGCUACAAUGGUUGGUACAACGAGUUGCGAGUCGGUGACGGCGAGCUAAUCUCUUAAAGCCAAUCUCAGUUCGGAUUGUAGGCUGCAACUCGCCUACAUGAAGUCGGAAUCGCUAGUAAUCGCGGAUCAGCACGCCGCGGUGAAUACGUUCCCGGGUCUU
rnacentral:rRNA from 1 species